GUCCUAUCAGCUUGUUGGUGAGGUAACGGCUCACCAAGGCGACGACGGGUACCGGGACUGAGAGGUUGACCCGGCGCAUCGGGACUGAGACACUGCCCGGACUCCUACGGGAGGCUGCAGUAACGAAUAUUCCGCAAUGGGCGAAAGCCUGACGGAGCGACGCCGCGUGUGGGAGGAAGCCCUUCGGGGUGUAAACCACUGUCAGGGAUUACCAAGCAAAGUUGGCGAAUAGCCUUCUGCGUUGAGGAGUCCCAGAGGAAGCCACGGCUAACUUCGUGCCAGCAGCCGCGGUAAUACGAAGGUGGCGAGCGUUGUUCGGAAUCACUGGGCUUAAAGGGCACGCAGGCGGACUGUAAAGCGUCUUGUGAAAGCCCCCGGCUUAACCGGGGGAAUUGCUAGGCGAACUGGCAGUCUUGAGGCAGGUAAGGGCGAGUGGAACUCUUGGUGGAGCGGUGGAAUGCUUAGAUAUUACACAGAACACCGAUUGCGAAGGCAGCUCACUAAACUAAUAUUGACGCUGAGGCACGAAAGCGUGGGGAGCGAACAGGAUUAGAUACCCUGGUAGUCCACGCUGUAAACGAUGAUCACUCGCUGUUGGCAAUACAUCGUCAGCGGCUGAGCGAAAGCAUUAAGUGAUCCACCUGGGGAAUACGAUCGCAAGAUUGAAACUCAAAGGAAUUGACGGGGGCCCGCACAAGCGGAGGAACAUGUGGUUUAAUUCGAUGAUACGCGAGGAACCUUACCUGGGCUUAAAUGCAGAACGACGUUUCGGGAAACCGGAAUUUCUUCGGACGGACUGCAAGGUGCUGCAUGGCUGUCGUCAGCUCGUGCCGUGAGGUGUCGGGUUAAGUCCCAUAACGAGCGCAACCCUUAUCGUUAGUUGCCAGCGGGUAAUGCCGGGGACUCUAACGAAACUGCCGGUGUAAACCGUGAGGAAGGUGGGGAUGACGUCAAGUCAGCACGGCCCUUAUGUCCAGGGCUACGCACGUGUUACAAUGGUCGGUACAAAGGGCAGCUACCUGGCAACAGGAUGCUAAUCUCGAAAACCGAUCUCAGUUCGGAUUGAAGUCUGCAAUUCGACUUCAUGAAGCUGGAUUCGCUAGUAAUCGCGCAUCAGCCACGGCGCGGUGAAUACGUUCCCGGGCCUUGUACACACCGCCCGUCAAGCCAUGGAAGCUUGGGGUACCUGAAGGCCGUAACC
rnacentral:rRNA from 1 species